rnacentral:antisense_RNA from 1 species
AGCUAUGGCGGCUGUGCGUGGAAGCCCUACGGGGCUGCCGGUGUCCAUUCGGGCCGGUCCGCCAAUCCGCGUACAGUCGCCCCCAUC